rnacentral:lncRNA from 1 species
CUGGCGCUGCGCAGCCUGGUGGAGCUUCGGGCACUGCUGCAGAGACCCCGAGGGACCAGCGGCCCCCUGGAGUUGCUGUCAGAGGCCCUCUGCAGUGUCAGGGGACCUAGCAGCACAGUGGGCCCCUCCCUCAACUGGUACGAGGCUAGUGACCUGAUGGAGCUGGUGGGGCAGGAGCCAGAAUCCGCCCUGCCAGACAGCAGCCUGACCCCGCCUGCUCGGAGCUGAUUGGAGCCCUGGACAGCCACCCGCUGUCCCGCCUGCUCUGGAGACGCCUGAAGCCUCUGAUCCUCGGGAAGCUACUCUUUGCACCAGAUACACCUUUUACCCGGAAGCUCAUGGCCCAGUGAACCGGACCUUCGAGGAGCUCACCCUGCUGAGGGAUGUCCGGGAGGUGUGGGAGAUGCUGGGACCCCGGAUCUUCACCUUCAUGAACGACAGUUCCAAUGUGGCCAUGCUGCAGGUGUGCGGGG